UACGGAGGGGGCUAGCGUUGCUCGGAAUCACUGGGCGUAAAGCGCACGUAGGCGGACUCUUAAGUCGGUGGUGAAAUCCUGGAGCUCAACUCCAGAACUGCCUUUGAUACUGAGGAUCUUGAGUUCGGGAGAGGUGAGUGGAACUGCGAGUGUAGAGGUGAAAUUCGUAGAUAUUCGCAAGAACACCAGUGGCGAAGGCGGCUCACUGGCCCGAUACUGACGCUGAGGCACGAAAGCGUGGGGAGCAAACAGG
rnacentral:rRNA from 1 species